rfam:Myotis davidii contig220328, whole genome shotgun sequence.
GGUGUUUCUCCAGUGACGCACCCAGAAUCAGGCUCCCUUCUUUCUGAUUCCGGGUGUAUCACCCAAGAACUGCA